rnacentral:rRNA from 1 species
AACGAACGCUGGCGGCAUGCCUAACACAUGCAAGUCGAACGAGACCUUCGGGUCUAGUGGCGCACGGGUGCGUAACGCGUGGGAACCUGCCCUUAGGUUCGGAAUAACUCCCCGAAAGGGGUGCUAAUACCGGAUAAUGUCUUCGGACCAAAGAUUUAUCGCCUUUGGAUGGGCCCGCGUUGGAUUAGCUAGUUGGUAGGGUAAAAGCCUACCAAGGCGACGAUCCAUAGCUAGUCUGAGAGGAUGAUCAGCCACACUGGGACUGGGACACGGCCCAGACUCCUACGGGAGGCAGCAGUGGGGAAUAUUGGACAAUGGGCGAAAGCCUGAUCCAGCAAUGCCGCGUGAGUGAUGAAGGCCUUAGGGUUGUAAAGCUCUUUUACCCGGGAUGAUAAUGACAGUACCGGGAGAAUAAGCUCCGGCUAACUCCGUG